AACUGGGAUUAGAUACCCCACUAUGCCCAGCCCUAAACUUAGAUAGCAAAAUACCACCUAUCCGCCAGAGAACUACAAGCAAAAUACUUAAAACUCAAAGGACUUGGCGGCAUUCCAUAUCAACCUAGAGGAGCCCGUCCAAUAAUCGAUAAUACGCGCUUAACCCAACCAUUUUUGGCCACUCCAGCCUAUAUACCGCCGUCGUCAGCUAACCUUGUGAAAGAAAAAAAGUAAGCACAACAGCCCUCGCUAAAACGUCAGGUCAAGGUGUAGCUAAUAAAAUGGGUGUGAUAGGCUACAUUUUCUAUUAUAGAAAAUAACGGAAAAUACAAUGAAACCUUGUAAUAGAAGGUGAAUUUAGAAGUAAACUAAGAAAGAAUCCUUAUUUAACCUCGCUCUGGAAUGCGCACACACCGGCCGUCC
rnacentral:rRNA from 1 species